UACGGAAGGUCCGGGCGUUAUCCGGAUUUAUUGGGUUUAAAGGGAGCGCAGGCGGGAUGUCAAGUCAGCCGUGAAAUGGCCGGGCCCAACCGGGUCAUGCGGUUGAAACUGGCGUUCUUGGGUGGUGGCGGCGCACGCGGAACUCGUGGUGUAGCGGUGAAAUGCAUAGAUAUCACGAGGAACGCCGUUCGCGAAGGCGGCGUGCGAGCCUUUUACCGACGCUCAUGCUCGAAGGCGCGGGUAUCAAACA
rnacentral:rRNA from 1 species